UACGUAGGGUGCGAGCGUUAAUCGGAAUUACUGGGCGUAAAGCGUGCGCAGGCGGUGCUGUAAGACAGGCGUGAAAUCCCCGGGCUUAACCUGGGAAUGGCGCUUGUGACUGCAGUGCUGGAGUGCGGCAGAGGGGGAUGGAAUUCCGCGUGUAGCAGUGAAAUGCGUAGAUAUGCGGAGGAACACCGAUGGCGAAGGCAAUCCCCUGGGCCUGCACUGACGCUCAUGCACGAAAGCGUGGGAGCAAACAGG
rnacentral:rRNA from 1 species